UACUUAGGGUGCGAGCGUUAAUCGGAAUUACUGGGCGUAAAGCGAGUGUAGGCGGCUGUAUAAGUCGGAUGUGAAAGCCCCGGGCUCAACCUGGGAAUUGCAUUCGAAACUGUACAGCUAGAGUUUGGUAGAGGUAAGUGGAAUUCAAGGUGUAGCGGUGAAAUGCGUAGAUAUCUUGAGGAACAUCAGUGGCGAAGGCGGCUUACUGGACCAAAACUGACGCUGAGGCUCGAAAGCGUGGGGAGCAAAC
rnacentral:rRNA from 1 species